AACGAACGCUGGCGGCAUGCCUAGCACAUGCAAGUCGAACGAGACCUUCGGGUCUAGUGGCGCACGGGUGCGUAACGCGUGGGAACCUGCCCUUAGGUUCGGAAUAACUCCCCGUAAGGGGUGCUAAUACCGGAUAAGGUCUUCGGACCAAAGAUUUAUCGCCUUUGGCUGGGCCCGCGUUGGCUUAGCUAGUUGGUAGGGUAAAAGCCUACCAAGGCGACGUUGCAUAGCUGGUCUGAGAGGAUGAUCAGCCACACUGGGCAUGAGACACGGCCCAGACUCCUACGGGACGCAGCAGUGGGGAAUAUUGGAGAAUGGGCGAAAGCCUGAUCCAGCAAUGCCGCGUGAGUGAUGAAGGCCUUAGGGUUGUAAAGCUCUUUUACACGGGAUGAUAAUGACAGUACCGGGAGAAUAAGCUCCGGCUAACUCCGUG
rnacentral:rRNA from 1 species